rnacentral:lncRNA from 1 species
ACAUCGGCCAUAACUAUUCAUUCAAAGUGCCAUCGGGGGCAUGUGUCAUCCUAUGGAGACAGCUCUUCUUAAUUUCAAAAAUACUUUUUUUUUUGAAAGUGCUGUCAAAUUUUAUUUGAAAUUAACAUUACUGUCAAAUUUGAUGUAAUAAUUUAUUAGUGCUGUCAAAUUUUAUAUAACAGUUAACAAGUGCUGUUAAUUUUUGUUUUUUUUUUUUCAAUAAUUUAUAAGUACUGUCAGAUUAUAUGUAAUUAGUACUUAUUACUUAAAAGUUAUAUCAGAUUUUGAAAAAAAAAGAAAUAUGGAAAAAAAAACUUUCGGAAGAAUUUUGUUCAUUAUAAUUUAACAUUUGGUUUAAGUGUGAGUGUGAUAUUUUUGGGCAUUAUCCAAGCUGUUGAUAUGUUUUGACAUUUCAGCACAAUUGAAACAGGUAAAUUGGAAUCUCCUGACAUUAAAACUAAGUGCCUUGAAAUAUCAGAUUAGUAAAAAAAAAUAUAGAUUUUUACCAGAAGUCAUUAAAAGUAUGUUCUCAUAGCUGCUGCUGCCAAAAGAAUCCUGGAGAAUAAAAAUUUAUAUAGUAGAACCUCUGUUAACAACACCUCUAAAGAGCAACCACCUUUCAACGAAGGUUCCUGUUUGUUAACAUUGUUAGUAAAUAAACUUCUGCAGUGCAGCAAACAUGUUAAAACUUUUUUAGUAAAUUGACCUCAUAGAGAAACAACCACAUUUUAGUUUGUUUCUUUGGUGGUGUCUGCUCUAGGGAGGAUACAGUGUAAUGUAAAACUGCUGCCAUUUUGCCUUUUUUCUAACAGUUGAUUCCAGUUUCCCUGAAAUGUCUUUGUAAUGUACCAUUGAUUCCUGUGGUAACAGCUCACAGCGAUAAAUCCUUUCUGUAAUAUCAUAUACAUGUACAUGCUUCCAGUACAACUGCUUCUAACAUAUGAAUUUUCUUAUAAGCCGAGUCUCUGACUUUGCCGAGAAGAAACAUGGGUUAGAAUCAGGUGCGCUUGUUUUCAGGGACCAUUUUUUUGCAGGAAAUAUUGUCCAAAUUUGCUUGCAUUUCUUCAUGUGAACGUACACAAUUUUAAUUAUCUCUAGCCCUCAGCAUUUUUGACUUCAUAAAAGUUUAGAUCACCCAUGAACAGCCUGUUCAAACAUUUCUUCUGUGAAAUUUCAAAUUUAUAUAGAAUAACCUCUGUACAUUUUAUAAAUAUAAAAAGCGUUUACUUGCUUUUUAUUUUGAACUUUAUUUUUUCUAACUAAAUUAUAGAAUCAAAAUAUAAUCCUGUAAUUGUAAAAAUUUAUAUUCAAAUCACUUACUUUUUAAAUUUGUCAUAGCAACAUAGUUGUUAUGAAUUUUGCUUUAGAGACUUUUAUUUCUGGAUGUUUCAAUUGCUACUAAUUGGUAUUAUUUUACUCUAAAGUGCUGUUAUAGUGGUUCAGGUAAGAUAAAUUUGUAUGGUUAGAACUUAUGUAUGGGAUAAAAAGGGUUUUCAUUUACAAUACAACCAGUGUUUAAUCUCCGAAUAACAUUUAUGUAAAGAUGUUGUGGUUGUAAAGCCAGUCCGGCAAAACCAGCCUGGCUUAAAACAGUUCUUGAUUGAAUAGGAUCAGUCCGGGAAAAGUGCAUCACUGUUACACAAAAAGAAGCUGUCUUGCUAAAAGCAGUACUUGUCCAAAUAAGACCUGUCCAAAUAAAAGAAGCAAUAUUUCAGAUCUAGUGGAAAAUAAAGACACUCUUACUCCGUGUAAUACUUACAAAAUCAGGCUGGCUCAAAACAAAAGUAGCAAAAGUCAGAUUCAAAGUAGAAGUUGUAGAAAUAUAACCAGUUUGACUCACAGCAAUACUUGCUUAGAUAGAACCAGUCUGACUCAAGGUAGAAGUUGUAGAAAUAUAACCAGUUUGACUCACAGCAAUACUUGCUUAGAUAGAACCAGUCUGACUCAAAGUAGAAGUUGUACAAAUAUAACCAGUCUGGCUCACAGCAAUACUUGCUCAGAUAAAACCAGUCUGACUCAAGUGACUCAAGUUUUUAAGAAAUAUAGUCUGGCGCAAAUCAAAAGUUGUACAAGUAAAACCAGACCGGCUCAAAUAGAUAUUUGUUUUAUGUUGAAAUUCUGUUAAAAAAAACCCAGUAGACUGCAAUAUUAGGCCUGAUUUUUGUGUCGGACCAGUCAGGCCUAGAGUAUUGUGGGACACGGUUUGAAACAGCAUCCAUCCAGGACUUCAUUCAGUUUUAUAAAAAUACUGUAAGUCAGCAGAUCCUCAAGGUGUGAAAACCUAAAUACUGGUUAAUAUGACGAAUCUGUAAUAUUGUCCAAAACCAUUUCAUGUAAGUAUAAUUAUGAUUUAUAAUUAUGUAACUUACAAAUUUUCCAAGUGCAGUGUUACACAGGUACACAAUAAACUUUAUUUAUCUUAAUUUAGGUAUAAUUAUUUAAUAUAGUUCAGUUGAAGCAAGAGUAGUAUGAACUGAGGACAGAAAAAUCAUUUAUGGUCGCAAUGAAAUCCAGGGUAAAGGCAUCUCUGAAACAACGUGUUUAUAUAACAGUUAUGCAGUGCCCAGUUAUGCCUGCUUAACAUUCUGUCUGUACUUUACCUAAGAAAGAAUUACAAUUGACUGGUAAGGUAGCCAAAAUUUAAAUUUUUCCUAGAAUAAAGAUGAUCAAAAGUUUUAUAAGAUUCUUUUGAACGUUGCUUUCUUACUACACUGGUAAGUCUUAUACUAUAUUAAACCAGAAACAUUGAUUGUAUCCUGAUACUGUAAGCUUGUAACAAGGUAAGAUUAGAGAUUAAUAUAAUAUGGUAAGAUAAGAGAUUAAAAUUUCAAUUUUUUUUUUUAUAAAUAUAUGAUGCGAGUUUGGUUGUAUUGUAUAUGAACCCAAUGUUGAUAAAUACAUUGAUAUUCAUUUUAGUACAUGUAUGUUAUAUACUUUCUUUUUCAUUGUGAUGAUUAGUUUGUAUGCAUUUUAAAUUUAUUGUACAUGUCCAGAAUCAUUUACUUGAUGUAGAAUGUAAACAAAACAUAAUAGAAAAGAAGAAAAACAAUAAAAAAUAAAAAAAAAAACUCAUAAUAAUUUGACAGUGUCUUCAACAUAAAACAUAUAACUUGUUUGUAGAUAAGUGAAAGGAUAUCUUGAUUUGAAAAGAAGUAUUUAUUAUUUUUAAAAAACCAAACAAAACAUUACCGGUAAGAUGAAUUCUGAAACAAGUGGUCAAGUUACAUUAUUGCUUACUUGAGAUGAUUAGAACUAUAAACUUAAAUUCAUUCAGUAAAAGCUUUAUUGUGGACUGGUGAUACAUAUAUGGAAACAUGUAGAUUUUAUCUUCAUUUAUUACAAUCUUAAAUUAACCUUGUGCCAAAUAAAUGUGUACCAUACCAUGAUGUAUUUUUUUGAUAAUUUAUAGACUUAAUGUCAGACAUAAAUUAAUCAUUUGAUUCAGUUACAGAUAUCAUUAUAUUCAGACUUUGGAAGGUUGAUGAAAGGUCAAUUAUAAGACAUUGUAUUUUGUAUGAGAUGAUAAAAGGUUACAAAAUUAAUUCAUACAAUUUCUAUCAUGGAGUUAAGGUUUUAUUCAACAAACUUUUGCAAACUUAGAUUUUCUUUCUUUCCUUGUAACUAAAAUACAAAAAAAAACAUUGCUAUAAAAUGAUAAAAUGAUGCAUGUAUCAAGCCAGUGGCGGCAAAAUAGGAUUUUAUUUUCUUGUCCAUUUUUGCCAAGAGCUACUGUCUACCUGUCCGUGUAAAUGUUUAUAUAGAAAAAUACAGUGAAAUUUUACUUGUUCGUAUGGGCUAUGAGACAAGUUGCAUGGGCAAGUCGUACAAUUGCCACCCCAGGUGACCCCUGCAAACAAGUGCAAUUCUGCAUGAUCAUCAGAUUUUACCCAUGCAUGAUAACCUAUUUAUUUACAGAUAAACAGAAAAAUCAUAAAAUCAUUUUUAGCCGCAUUAUGGGAUUUACCCCUUCAUUUUCUGAUAGAGUUUCUUCCAUCUAAAAAGACAAAAUUACGAACAAAAGUUUUAUUAAAAUGUCACCUGGUACUUACUUAUUGGGUACGUAAUAUUGGAACCGAACCAUAAUAUUGACACCAGUCUUUUACAGGUCUGUAAUAUUGAAACCAGUCUUUUACUCAACUAUAAUAUUGACACCAGUCUUUUACACAACUGUAAUAUUGAAACCAGUCUUUUACCCAAUUAUAAUAUUGACACCAGUCUUUUAAAGAACUGUAAUAUUGAAACCAGUCUUUUUGCC